UACGGAGGGUGCAAGCGUUAUCCGGAUUUAUUGGGUUUAAAGGGUGCGUAGGCGGCCUUUUAAGUCAGUGGUGAAAACCUGCGGCUCAACCGUAGGCGUGCCAUUGAAACUGAAGGGCUUGAGUCACCAUGAGGCAGGCGGAAUGUGUAGUGUAGCGGUGAAAUGCUUAGAUAUUACACAGAACACCGAUUGCGUAGGCAGCUUGCUAAAGGUACACUGACGCUGAUGCACGAAAGCGUGGGGAUCGAACAGGAUUAGAUACCCUGGUAGUCCACGCCGUAAACGAUGAUGACUCGCUGUUGGCGAUAUACAGUCAGCGGCUUAGCGAAAGCGUUAAGUCAUCCACCUGGGGAGUACGCUCGCAAGAGUGAA
rnacentral:rRNA from 1 species